AACUUGAAUGUUGAGUUUGUGUAUAUUAGGGUAAUAAUGCAUUGAAUGGAUAUAUGGAUGUUUAUUGUAUUGUAUUGAAAAUAUUAGGUAAGUUCGUGUAACUUGAAUUAUAUUCUUAAAUGCUUGAGAUUGUAUGUUAUUGAUGUGAAUAUGAUUUGAGUGUUCAUUGUAUGAAAAUUAAUGAAACAUUGAUAUAUUUGAUAAAAUGGGAAGAAAUCCCGAUUGAAUGAAAGGAAAA